AAAAAGAGGUGAAGUUUCAGAAAUUUUUUAUCAUUGAAAAAUUGAACUCAUCACUGGUAUGGAAACGUGUACGUGGCUGCAGCAAGAGAAAUAGCAGAACAAAAUAAAAAUUUGGUCGUCAUGUCUCCAUGCUCUCCACUCCCUGCUGUUUCUCAGAUUUCAGGCCUGAGCCAGCCAUCGUAACCAUAAGAUGUCCCAUAUGUUUUAAUACUGACCUGACAUCACCAGCAAUCUCUGCAUCAUCAAUUGGCUUAUAGCGGUCCUCGUGUACACCACUAACCCAUGUGAAGGUGUGUGUAUAUUCGCGAUGACCCCCUUUUCCUAUCCUGCCUGGCGUCAACUUUACUGAAGAUGGAGCACUUGUGGAGGCCUGGCUGUGGAUUUCCCAGGCUUAAAGAUUCGAGCCAGCCAUCAUAAAACCACACAAUAUGCAAGUUUUUCUUGUGCAGGUGUUAACCUGUCACUGUCACCGUCACCCAUCAACAAUCUCAGGAUCAUUGCUUGGAUAAAAAGCAUCCCAUUUGCACUGGAAAACUACCGAUGUCAAUCGAGUGACGGAUCUCUCUUCUUCCCCUUUUUUAAAAUGUCCUCGUGUACGCCCAUGUGAAUGUGGGUGUAUUCACGAGGACACCCUUUUUACCCUAUCCCGUCUGGUUGUAAUUUCAACUCUUCAGCGGAUGGAUGGAGCAACUGACGAAGAUGCCUGGCUGUAUUUCCCAGGUAUAAAGGUAGGACAAAAUUGAUCUCUUUUCCUUUUUGGCAAUUUUGAGUGGCGUCGAUUAUAAAUCGUAGUCACGGAGGAUGUUUAUUCCGGAGCUAGGCGGUUGACUGAAACUGUUUUCUCUCUCCGUUUUGGUUUUUUCUCAGUCAGGGUUCACUAAAAAUCUCAUUUGUCGAAUGACUGCAGAUCAGGCUUGUUUUAUUUUGUACCUCACAACUUUUUCUGUGAGUAAACCAUCACAUUUGAAAAAUAUUUGAACCUCUUACGAAAGCGACGAUGAGAGUAACGGCGAUGAACGACAUGCGGCGUAAUUUGCGGUAAUAGUGGGCGUCGUGUUCUAGGAGGCGCUCCAGCCGCUCGAUGGCGGAAAUGAUUUCGGCGAAGCUGCCGAAGGUCAUGCAAUACAAAACCGCGUGAGCCAAAACGUUGCCAAGAAAGAAAUUGAUGUAAUCAACGAAUUCGUUCAUGGUAGACAGUGUUAAGGUAGGAGCGUAUUUCACGUAACGGUAGCCGUUCCAUCCGAUGUUGAACGUGAGGCAAACGGCGGCGUAGAAGCGUAGAAAAUAGCGAGUCCCUCUUUUUCCUCUGACUAAUUCAUCAUCCAGUUGGAAAUGGAUGCCGCAAAAUUGCAGGAAUUUCAGGAUCGGCUCAACGGCUUCCGAGAACGAAGCCAUUUUUGAAAUGUCUCUCAGCUUCAAAGUGCGGCGCCAGCCAAACUGAACUGCUCAUUUAUCAAUUUGACUCACUGGGGUUCCUCUCUUGGUGGGGUUGACGAUUGCGCCGUGACGCCAUAAUGUCACCGCCGGCCUUUAUAACCCCAAUAUCUUUGAUGAAUGGGCUGAAACUGUAAACGUCAAUCUAAAAAAAAAGCCAACGCAAUUUGUUAAAUGGUUUUUUAUUUAUUUAUUCUUAUUUUCUCGAACGUUUUGUUGCGUCACGGCGUUUGACCUCGGUGACGAUAGAUAGCGCUAUCGUGAGUUGCCCAUCUUGGGACCUUAUAUAGCCUCAUCUUUUUGUGAUAUCACCCGAUGAUUUAUAUCUCUCUCGCCCGAAAGAGAUGACAUACAAAAAGAGCUGCAACACAACAUUUCAUUGCCACGCACUCAGUGAAUGAUGAUCGAUCCCGUUUCAAAUGCGUCCCACAUGUAGAAUAUAGCCCACGAUCUCAUGAUAUAGGGAAGAAAAAUAUUGGACACAGAAGUUGCUAAAAAAGAUAUGCUGGGGGGUGACUUUUUUCUUUUCUUUCGAAUGGGAUCAAGAUGCGAUACAUAACACGUUAUAGCGAGGAAAAGGCAAGGCAAAAAAAAUUAAUGUAUACCAAAAGACCUAUUUCCCUAAUGGAGCCGCCGACCCAGGGGAAUGACAAGGCACAGCAGCGCCAACCGGAAUAUAAAUAUAUAGAUACUUAUAUAUAUAUAUAUCUGGCAAUAUAUAGAGCAGCAGCAAUAUAGCUGGUGAUGGUUUCCAACACAUCUCUCGCCCCACCCCUGCUGCUGCUCUAUAGCUGGCUGUAUUUUAUAUAUCUAUUUCUUUAGUUUUCUUCCCCGCACUAUAUACUAUAUGACAAGGGUACCUUUCGCGGGUGAGCGUGUACACAUAAAAAAGGGGGGAAAAUGAUCAAUACCAACCACUACUAGUAUAUAGUAUGUGUGUACACCGGCUCACGCGUCCUGUGUACACACACACAUAUCUAUCUGAUGUAGACAGCGGUAUAUACUGAGAGUUUAUACGAGCGGAUAAAAAAAAGAGAAGAAUAAGUCGACGACCGUGAACUUAUUCACACGCUCACUCACGAAU